rnacentral:piRNA from 1 species
UGCACGGCUGCAGCCUCCUCACC